UACGUAGGGUGCGAGCGUUAAUCGGAAUUACUGGGCGUAAAGCGUGCGCAGGCGGUUUUGUAAGUCAGAUGUGAAAUCCCCGGGCUUAACCUGGGAACUGCGUUUGAAACUACAAGGCUGGAGUGUGGCAGAGGGGGGUGGAAUUCCACGUGUAGCAGUGAAAUGCGUAGAGAUGUGGAGGAACACCGAUGGCGAAGGCAGCCCCCUGGGUUAACACUGACGCUCAGGCACGAAAGCGUGGGGAGCAAACAGG
rnacentral:rRNA from 1 species